GACCCGUUAGCUCAGCAGGUAGAGCAAUUCCCUUUUAAGGAAUGGGCCGUUGGUUCAAAUCCAACACGGGUCA
rnacentral:tRNA from 2 species